rnacentral:rRNA from 1 species
AGUACGUGAAACUGCUUAGAGGUUAAACCCGAUGAACCUGAAUAUCCAUUAUGGAAAAUUCAAUACUAAUAUUGCAAUAUAUAUCAUAUUUGUAAAAGUAGUGUGCAAUUUUUCCAUAUAAGGACAUUGUAAUCUGUUAAUGUAAUAAAUAUUUAUCAAAAGAUUCUUUACUUAAGUUUAUUCAAAUUGUUUAUUUUCGGAUAUUCAACAUAAAAUAAAUGUAUUGAAUUGGAUAAAUCAUUGACAGAUAUAAUUAUAUAAUGUGCUCAAAUUCUAAGGAAUUUUACAAUGAUAAAUGAAUCUAUUGAUUUGUUUAUUUAUUUGUCUGCACUAUUAUGAUUAACAAUGCGAUAGAUUCAGGAUACCUUCGGGACCCGUCUUGAAACACGGACCAAGGAGUCUAACAUAUGUGCAAGUCAUUGGGUAUUUAUAAUAAAACCCAAUGGCAUAAUUAACUUAACUUUAUUUAUGGGAUUAGUUUAUAAUUUAUUAUGAAUUAUUUAUUCAAUCCCGGGGCGUUCUAUAUAGUUAUGUAUAAUGGUAUUUAUAUUAUUUAUACCUCUAACUAGAGCGUACCUUGAGC